rnacentral:rRNA from 1 species
GAUGAACGCUGGCGGCGUGCCUAAUACAUGCAAGUCGAGCGAACGGACGAGAAGCUUGCUUCUCUGAUGUUAGCGGCGGACGGGUGAGUAACACGUGGAUAACCUACCUAUAAGACUGGGAUAACUUCGGGAAACCGGAGCUAAUACCGGAUGAUAUUUUGAACCGCAUGGUUCAAAAGUGAAAGACGGUCUUGCUGUCACUUAUAGAUGGAUCCGCGCUGCAUUAGCUAGUUGGUAAGGUAACGGCUUACCAAGGCAACGAUGCAUAGCCGACCUGAGAGGGUGAUCGGCCACACUGGAGCGGAGACACGGUCCAGACUCCUACGGGAGGCAGCAGUAGGGAAUCUUCCGCAAUGGGCGAAAGCCUGACGGAGCAACGCCGCGUGAGUGAUGAAGGUCUUCGGAUCGUAAAACUCUGUUAUUAGGGAAGAACAUAUGUGUAAGUAACUGUGCACAUCUUGACGGUACCUAAUCAGAAAGCCACGGCUAACUACGUG